AUUGAACGCUGGCGGCAGGCCUAACACAUGCAAGUCGAGCGGAGCGGCGGACGGGUGAGUAAUGCCUAGGAAUCUGCCUGGUAGUGGGGGAUAACGUCCGGAAACGGGCGCUAAUACCGCAUACUAUCAGAUGAGCCUAGGUCGGAUUAGCUAGUUGGUGAGGUAACGGCUCACCAAGGCCACGAUGCAUAGCCGACCUGAGAGGAUGACCAGCCACACUGGAACUGCGACACGGUCCAGACUCCUACGGGAGGCAGCAGUGGGGAAUAUUGCACAAUGGGCGCAAGCCUGAUGCAGCCAUGCCGCGUGUAUGAAGAAGGCCUUAGGGUUGUAAAGUACUUUCAGCGGGGAGGCGUUACCCGCAGAAGAAGCACCGGCUAACUCCGUGCCAGCAGCCGCGGUAAUAC
rnacentral:rRNA from 1 species